UGCGGGUUGAUGUAAUAGUUAACAUGCUGGACUCAUGAUCCAAAAUUGAAGGUGCGAAUCCUUUGCCUGCAU